rnacentral:rRNA from 1 species
AUACGGAGGAUCCGAGCGUUAUCCGGAUUUAUUGGGUUUAAAGGGAGCGUAGGCGGACGCUUAAGUCAGUUGUGAAAGUUUGCGGCUCAACCGUAAAAUUGCAGUUGAUACUGGGUGUCUUGAGUACAGUAGAGGCAGGCGGAAUUCGCGGUGUAGCGGUGAAAUGCUUAGAUAUCACGAAGAACUCCGAUUGCGAAGGCAGCCUGCUGGACUGUAACUGACGCUGAUGCUCGAAAGUGUGGGUAUCAAACAGGAUUAGAUACCCUGGUAGUCCACACAGUAAACGAUGAAUACUCGCUGUUUGCGAUAUACAGUAAGCGGCCAAGCGAAAGCGUUAAGUAUUCCACCUGGGGAGUACGCCGGCAACGGUGAAACUCAAAUGAAUUGACGGGG